GCCAGACACACCUGUAGUCUCAGCUACUUGGGAGGCUGAGACAGGAGGAUCGCUUCAAUCCAGGAGUUCUGGGAAAUGACAAAAUACAUAUUGUACAUAUUGCACUAUGCCAAUCGGGUGUCUGCACUAAGUUCGGCAUCAAUAUGCUGACUUCCUGGGAGCAGGGGGUCACCAGGUUGCCUAAGGAUGGGUCAACUGGCCCAGGUCGGAAACGAAGCAAGUCAGAACUCCCAUGCUGAUCAGUAGUGGGAUUGUGCCUAUGAAUAGCCACUGCACUCCAGCCUGGGCAACACAGCGAGAUCCUGUCUCUU
rfam:Otolemur garnettii contig053964, whole genome shotgun sequence.